ACUACAGCGGCGCCACCUUGGGAAAAAAAAAAAAAAAGCUAUGAGAAAGCUAUGAGAUCUUAGAACAAGGAUCUAGAGGAGGGCGCAGGUAUAUGAAGCAUGUUGAUUGGCAGCCAGGAACAGUUGUGUCCUGAUUGCCAAUUAGGAACAGGUGAGAGAGGCAAUGCUCAGGCCAGAGGGGAAGUGGCAGGAAAUGAAAGACAAGCAGGAAAUGGAAACCAUUAACCAAGAGCGAUGGAAAUAACACCCCGCACAGGGAAAACAACACAAGUCCAAAAACGGUCACAGAGGAUCAUGACACUCCCAUUAUGAGUGUUGUCACGGUUGGGGUUGCAGCUUGCUGCGGGAUCGUUCCUCCAAUGCUACAUGGACUACUCCGGACGACAGCGUGCAGCACAGUGUCUUUCAGCAGCACCUCCAACUACCACCACUCGUUUCAUCACGGCUGCUCCUAAUAAAGGCGACAGGUGAUUAGCUAACAAGGCCCACCUGUGCCAUCUACGCACCUGUCGCUGUCUUCGAGGCCGGUCCUGACACACCCUGUUCCGUGGCAGGCCCGCAGGCCGCGCCCCCUCCACAUAUACAGAGGCAUUUUAUUAUGGGAUACUCUUAAUUUAAAUAUUAGGACUAUUCCCAGUAUAAAAGCAUGUAAGAAUCAUGUAAAGUCACUUUUUUAGACUUAAGAGUUCAUCUUUCAUGUUAUCAGUUUGAGAAAAAAAAAAUUUCUCUUUCCCUUUUUCCUUUCUUUUAUUGUAACUGGAUUUAGUAUGUUCUGUAACUGGAUCUGUGUACUGUUAUUUUUUUUAUUAUUUUGAGAAUUUUCUUUUUCUUUUCCUUUUUCCUUUUUUUUUUAUUUGUAACUGGAUUUGUGUAUGUUUUGUAACUGGAUGUGUGAAUUAUUAUUUUACUUUGAACUUUUGAAGAGGACCCCAGGAAGACUAGCCUGGCGUUUGUGCGUCGGCUAAUGGGGAUCCUCAAUAAACAAUAAAUAAUAAGCAAACGAUUGGAACAAUUUCGGCAGAGAUUUGGACAGGCUGAGGGGGCAACUUCACACGGGUGAAUCACAAAACGUUAAUAACAUAACAACCAUAAUAGUUUGACCAAAAAUCUUUGCAGCACAAAU